rnacentral:rRNA from 1 species
AUGGUAGUGGAGAGAAAGAUGCAGCCUUCGCCCCCGCCGGAGCACAGGAGGGUGAUCCGCUUCGUGACCUUCCUGGCCCUCUCCCUCCUGGCUUUCUCCUGCUGGGCUCUCGUCAACUCCCGGAUCAACAACGCGAUCCUGAUAGCCGAUGCCGACAAGACGCCGUUGCUCGCCGGCGAUGAUGAUGACAGACACAAUACUGGCGGCGACCAUCCUGCGCCGAUCCCGGUGGCCGUGCCAUCCAGUAGUGACUUGAUGGCGGACGCCGUCAGGAUGGGCAAUCCGGUUGUUCGAGAGAUGUCGUUGGCAGGAGCAGCAGGAGGAGGAGGAGAUGGGAGCGAGGGAUCAUGCGACGCCGAGAACGCGCAGCUCAGGGUGUACUUGUACGACCUGCCGCCGGAGUUCCACUUUGGCAUGCUGGGGUGGGACGGGAAGGAGGCGUGGCCGGACGUCCGUGACGCGGGCGCUGUGCCACACUACCCCGGCGGCCUGAACCUACAGCACAGCGUCGCGUACUGGCUCACGCUUGACAUACUAUCCUCUACGCUGCCCCACAGUCCGGACGGCGGCGGCGGCAUGAGCAGGCCCUGCGUCGCCGUCAGGGUGACAAACGCCAGCCUCGCCGAUGUUUUCUUCGUGCCGUUCUUCGCGUCGUUGAGCUACAACCGGCACUCGAAGCUCCGGGGGAGGGAUAGGGUGAGCAGGAACAGGAUCCUGCAGGCCGAGCUGGUGAGGUACCUGAUGAGGCAGGAGGAGUGGAGGAGGUGGGGCGGCAAGGACCACCUCGUCGUCCCUCACCAUCCCAACAGCAUGAUGCAGGCCAGGAGGAAGCUAAGCGCCGCCAUGUACGUCCUCUCGGACUUCGGGAGGUACCCGCCGGACGUCGCAAACCUGAAGAAGGACGUCAUUGCUCCUUACAUGCACGUGGUCCGGUCUCUCGGAGACGACGAAUCGCCGGCAUUCGGACAGCGGCCAGUCCUGGCAUACUUCCAAGGAGCCAUUCACAGGAAAGAUGGUGGAAAGGUUCGUCAGAAGUUGUACCAGCUUCUCAAGGACGAGAAAGACGUGCACUUCACCUACGGGAGCGUCCGGCAGAACGGGAUCAGGCGCGCCACCAAAGGCAUGGCAUCGUCCAAGUUCUGCCUGAACAUCGCCGGCGACACGCCCUCCUCGAACCGCCUCUUCGACGCCAUCGUCAGCCACUGCGUCCCCGUCAUAAUCAGCGACGAGAUCGAGCUCCCUUUCGAGGACGUCCUCGACUACUCGGAGUUCUGCGUGUUCGUCCGUGCGUCGGAUGCUGUGAGGCAGGGCUCCCUGCUGCGCAUUCUCCGAGGCGUGACCAGGGACCAGUGGACAACCAUGUGGAGAAGGCUGAAGGAGGUGGCUCACCACUUUGAGUACCAGUACCCUUCGAAGCCAGAUGAUGCUGUUCAGAUGAUCUGGGGAGCGGUGGCUCGCAAGAUGCAUUCUCUGAAGCUGCAGCUUCACAAGACUGGCAGGUAUCAGAGAACACAUUCAGAUUCAUGA